rnacentral:lncRNA from 9 species
CUGUCCCGGGGGACCGGGUUGCGGCAGCCGCGGUCAGGGCGAGACUGGGCAGGGGCUGGCGGCUUGGGGUUCGGCUGCAAGGAGACCCACAGCAGGUGGAAAGUUAGGAAGGGGAGCGGGCUGGGGCCGAGAGCGGCUCGGCAGGAAUUCUGGCCCUUGCUCCUCCCCCAGGUCACCAGACUCUCUGGCUGUGUCUAGACUCCAGCCUCCGCCGACGGUUUCUAAUAAAGCCACGUGCACGGAAGAUCUGAAAGCAGGGAGACCACCCGACGUUUCCUAGGGGUUGCAAGAUGCACAGUCCCCUGCGUAUUUGGGGGUGGCACAGCUGACAGUGGUUCCCGUCUUCCCCCCAACCCCACCCCCUACUCCCCUCUCCUGGGCGUGGAUGGCUUUGGGAAGCGUCCACUCCAAGCGGCUCCAGCAACACUGAAUGGAUGUGUAGUAUGGUUAGCAGCUGGAGACGGAGCAAACGAUGCAAUGAAAAGAAGUCACAUUCACGGCGUAUUUGCUGGCAGGCACUGUGCGAAAUGCCUUGUAUGCAGCCUCUGUGAUUCUCUUCACGACUCGGUGAGCUGGAUGAGCAAGAAGCACUGGCGGGAAGGAGUUUGCAACAGUAAAGGCUGGAGGGCUGCCGGCACAGUGCAUUAGCUGGCACUGAGUCAUACCAACUAUAAAGAUUCCUGUUGGAAAUGUGCAGCAUCACAUCACAAAAGAAAAAGAAACCAGAAAUAAAUGAAAACUCCGACAUGGUUCCUGAUUUUGUUUUCUGUAAUAGAUGUGAAACCAUGGCAAGGAUAAACAGUGAUUUGGCAUUCAGCAUCACCACUGCAUCAGGCAUUUCUAAGAACUGAAUUAAUGAAUGAAUAAACUCAUGUCAUAAAUAUAUUGUUUGUGGAUUGAUGAAUGUAUUCCAUUUGCCCCAGAUUAGAUAAGUUUAUCUAGUUUCAUAAAAUUGGACAACUCAAGGAGUACAACCUAACUUGUAGUAUAUGUAAAUGAUGUUUUCCAGACUUGUAUAAAAUGGAAAAUCAGAUUUACUUGAUAGAAUGGUAGGAAAACCUCAAAGAAAAACUGUGGUCUUUUUUUAUAUCCUACUUGCCUCUUACUUUAGUGAAGAGUAGAAUUGUACCAAGUAUCUCAGUUUACUUCCUGAAAACUGAAGUCAUCAC